AUUGAACGCUGGCGGCAGGCUUAACACAUGCAAGUCGAGCGGGGUGAUGGUGCUUGCACUAUCACUUAGCGGCGGACGGGUGAGUAAUGCUUAGGAAUCUGCCUAUUAGUGGGGGACAACAUCUCGAAAGGGAUGCUAAUACCGCAUACGUCCUACGGGAGAAAGCAGGGGAUCACUUGUGACCUUGCGCUAAUAGAUGAGCCUAAGUCGGAUUAGCUAGUUGGUGGGGUAAAGGCCUACCAAGGCGACGAUCUGUAGCGGGUCUGAGAGGAUGAUCCGCCACACUGGGACUGAGACAAGGCCCAGCCUCCUACGGGAGGCAGCAGUGGGGAAUAUUGGACAAUGGGGGGAACCCUGAUCCAGCCAUGCCGCGUGUGUGAAGAAGGCCUUAUGGUUGUAAAGCACUUUAAGCGAGGAGGAGGCUCUUUUGGUUAAUACCCAAGAUGAGUGGACGUUACUCGCAGAAUAGCACCGGCUAACUCUGUGCCAGCCGCCGCCGUAA
rnacentral:rRNA from 1 species